AAGAAAGACAUAUGGACUUGGCUUGCACAAGUGAUUGACAUCUAGAUCUUGUUCGAGCAGCUAGCGAUGGUCAGAAUUCAAAUGUAUCGGCAUACAUUGACUCGACUGCGUGCAUGCCUGAAACUUUUAGAAACCAAACUUCAUGCCAGAUCGAUCUAUAAAUACCAAUCCAUAGUAGUUUGAUAACACAAAAUAUAUCUGUGUGUGAGAAAGAAGCUAGAAUGGCACAGUGUCCAGGUGUAGGUAAGAAGUCAUGGCCGGAGGUGGUGGGAGAAAAUGGGGAAGCUGUGGCGGCAAAGAUAGAGCAAGAGAAUCACGGUGUUCGUGCAAUCGUGCUACUGGAAGGGUCUGCAACCACCAAGGACUGGAGGUGCGAUAGGGUCUGGGUCUGGGUUAAUCAACGCGGCGUCGUCACUAGGGUUCCUCGUGUUGGUUAGGAGGUAGGGUUAGCACAUGUUAUAAUUAAUAUUCACUAAUUAUCUGCCACGACCCUACGUGAUGGUCUUCCACUUUAAUGUUCAUGAAUAAAUUGCUACAACUUUACAACCGAUAAAUUUGAUUUUGAUUUAAAAGAA